UAUUGGGCAAUGGGCGGAAGCCUGACCCAGCAACGCCGCGUGAAGGAAGAAGGCCCUCGGGUUGUAAACUUCUUUUAUCAAGGACGAAACAAAUGACGGUACUUGAUGAAUAAGCCACGGCUAACUACGUGCCAGCAGCCGCGGUAAUACGUAGGAGGCAAGCGUUAUCCGGAUUUACUGGGUGUAAAGGGCGUGUAGGCGGGACUGCAAGUCAGAUGUGAAAACCAUGGGCUCUACCCAUGGCCUGCAUUUGAAACCGUAGUUCUUGAGUGUUGGAGAGGCAGGCGGAAUUCCGUGUGUAGUGGUGAAAUGCGUAGAUAUACGGAGGAACACCAGUGGCGAAGGCGGCCUGCUGGACAAUAACUGACGCCGAGGCGCGAAAGCGUGGGGAGCAAACAGG
rnacentral:rRNA from 1 species